rnacentral:tRNA from 1 species
GGAAGCGUAGCCCAACGGCAGAGGCGCACGGUCGAGGUCCGUGUUGGUGUGGGUUCGAAUCCCACCGCUUCCA